GACCUGGCUCAGGAUGAACGCUGGCGGCGUGCCUAAUACAUGCAAGUCGAACGCGAGCACUUGUGCUCGAGUGGCGAACGGGUGAGUAAUACAUAAGUAACCUGCCCUAGACAGGGGGAUAACUAUUGGAAACGAUAGCUAAGACCGCAUAGGUACGGACACUGCAUGGUGACCGUAUUAAAAGUGCCUCAAAGCACUGGUAGAGGAUGGACUUAUGGCGCAUUAGCUGGUUGGCGGGG
rnacentral:rRNA from 1 species